rnacentral:rRNA from 1 species
AGAUUGAACGCUGGCGGCAGGCCUAACACAUGCAAGUCGAGCGGUAGAGAGGUGCUUGCAUCUCUUGAGAGCGGCGGACGGGUGAGUAAUGCCUAGGAAUCUGCCUAGUGGUGGGGGAUAACGUUCGGAAACGGACGCUAAUACCGCAUACGUCCUACGGGAGAAAGCGGGGACCUUCGGGCCUCGCGCCAUUAGAUGAGCCUAGGUCGGAUUAGCUAGUUGGUGAGGUAAUGGCUCACCAAGGCGACGAUCCGUAACUGGUCUGAGAGGAUGAUCAGUCAC